CACAUGCAGUUUAACCAGAUUGGAAGAAUUACAAUCUAGACACCAUAUGCAACAUGCAACCACAUAUCACGCUGCCAAGUUAGAGCAAGCACCUGCGAUGCUAGUGUAGGGGAAAUGCUGUAAUCAACUACAUAGCUACGUUCAGUAUCUUCAUCUAGCAUUUCUAUUUCUUGAGAAUCAUGUCGGGAGGCUGACGCUGCAUUCUUUAAAUGAGGAGUAGUCCCCUUGCCUGCCUGCCUCAUCAUAAGUGAUUGAUGAGGGAUACACAAGAACAUUAGUUUGAUGUAAGAACAUGGUUAAUACACAGAUGUACUAGUAUGUACCAAAAACAGAAAGGCAUGUCAUAUUCAAAGGUAUAAUGUGUAAGCUAAGUAGAUGCAAUUUAACCAAGUUGGAAGCAAUACAAGCCAGACAUCCGGCUGGAGUGGUGAACAUGAUCAUCUAGGACCUGAGAGCCUGGUGGGAGGCGGGCUUCUUCGCCACCAUCGCGGCUUUUUAGUUGGCUUCUAGGUGAUGCCUGUCUUUGCUGGGCUUGUCACUGGCUCGGCCAGUGCCCUGACUAGCUAUUUGUCUUCUGGUGCUCACGGGAUGGUGGUUCAUGUAAAAAAUGUCUUUCCUUAUCUUAAUAAAGACCGACUUCGGCCUUUCGAAUACAAGCUAGACACCAUAUGGAACAUGCAACCACAUAUGACACCGCGAAGUUAAAGCAAGUACCUGGGAUGGUGGUUCAUUGCUAGCGAGGUCAUCAAC
rnacentral:lncRNA from 1 species